GACAGAGGUGCCAAGCGUUAGGCGGAAUCACUGGGCUUAAAGCGUGUGUAGGCGGGUCGUUAAGUACCUUGUGAAAUCCCACGGCUCAACCGUGGAACGGCUGGGUAUACUGCCUGUCUUGAGCCAGCUAGGGGCGAGCGGAACAGACGGUGGAGCGGUGAAAUGCGUAGAUAUCGUCUGGAACGCCGAAGGUGAAAACAGCUCGCUGGGGCUGUGCUGACGCUGAGACACGAAAGCCAGGGGAGCGAACGGG
rnacentral:rRNA from 1 species